GGGUUGUGAGGUUAAGCGACUAAGCGUACACGGUGGAUGCCCUGGCAGUCAGAGGCGAUGAAGGACGUGCUAAUCUGCGAAAAGCGUCGGUAAGGUGAUAUGAACCGUUAUAACCGGCGAUGUCCGAAUGGGGAAACCCAGUGCAAUUCGUUGCACUAUCGUUAACUGAAUACAUAGGUUAACGAGGCGAACCGGGGGAACUGAAACAUCUAAGUACCCCGAGGAAAAGAAAUCAACCGAGAUUCCCCCAGUAGCGGCGAGCGAACGGGGAGCAGCCCAGAGUCUGAAUCAGCUUGUGUGUUAGUGGAACGGUCUGGAAAGUCCGACGGUACAGGGUGAUAGUCCCGUACACCAAAAUGCACAGGCUGUGAACUCGAAGAGUAGGGCGGGACACGUGGUAUCCUGUCUGAAUAUGGGGGGACCAUCCUCCAAGGCUAAAUACUCCUGACUGACCGAUAGUGAACCAGUACCGUGAGGGAAAGGCGAAAAGAACCCCGGCGAGGGGAGUGAAAAAGAACCUGAAACCGUGUACGUACAAGCAGUGGGAGCACCUUCGGGUGUGACUGCGUACCUUUUGUAUAAUGGGUCAGCGACUUAUAUUCUGUAGCAAGGUUAACCGUAUAGGGGAGCCGCAGGGAAACCGAGUCUUAACUGGGCGUUAAGUUGCAGGGUAUAGACCCGAAACCCGGUGAUCUAGCCAUGGGCAGGUUGAAGGUUGGGUAACACUAACUGGAGGACCGAACCGACUAAUGUUGAAAAAUUAGCGGAUGACUUGUGGCUGGGGGUGAAAGGCCAAUCAAACCGGGAGAUAGCUGGUUCUCCCCGAAAGCUAUUUAGGUAGCGCCUCGUGAAUUCAUCUUCGGGGGUAGAGCACUGUUUCGGCUAGGGGGUCAUCCCGACUUACCAACCCGAUGCAAACUACGAAUACCGAAGAAUGUUAUCACGGGAGACACACGGCGGGUGCUAACGUCCGUCGUGAAGAGGGAAACAACCCAGACCGCCAGCUAAGGUCCCAAAGUCAUGGUUAAGUGGGAAACGAUGUGGGAAGGCACAGACAGCCAGGAUGUUGGCUUAGAAGCAGCCAUCAUUUAAAGAAAGCGUAAUAGCUCACUGGUCGAGUCGGCCUGCGCGGAAGAUGUAACGGGGCUAAACCAUGCACCGAAGCUGCGGCAGCGACACUAUGUGUUGUUGGGUAGGGGAGCGUUCUGUAAGCCUGCGAAGGUGUGCUGUGAGGCAUGCUGGAGGUAUCAGAAGUGCGAAUGCUGACAUAAGUAACGAUAAAGCGGGUGAAAAGCCCGCUCGCCGGAAGACCAAGGGUUCCUGUCCAACGUUAAUCGGGCAGGGUGAGUCGACCCCUAAGGCGAGGCCGAAAGGCGUAGUCGAUGGGAAACAGGUUAAUAUUCCUGUACUUGGUGUUACUGCGAAGGGGGACGGAGAAGGCUAUGUUAGCCGGGCGACGGUUGUCCCGGUUUAAGCAUGUAGGCUGGUUGUCCAGGCAAAUCCGGAUAAUCAAGGCUGAGGUGUGAUGACGAGGCACUACGGUGCUGAAGUAACAAAUGCCCUGCUUCCAGGAAAAGCCUCUAAGCAUCAGGUAACAUCAAAUCGUACCCCAAACCGACACAGGUGGUCAGGUAGAGAAUACCAAGGCGCUUGAGAGAACUCGGGUGAAGGAACUAGGCAAAAUGGUGCCGUAACUUCGGGAGAAGGCACGCUGGUGUGUAGGUGAAGUCCCUGCGGAUGGAGCUGAGACCAGUCGAAGAUACCAGCUGGCUGCAACUGUUUAUUAAAAACACAGCACUGUGCAAACACGAAAGUGGACGUAUACGGUGUGACGCCUGCCCGGUGCCGGAAGGUUAAUUGAUGGGGUUAUCCGUAAGGAGAAGCUCUUGAUCGAAGCCCCGGUAAACGGCGGCCGUAACUAUAACGGUCCUAAGGUAGCGAAAUUCCUUGUCGGGUAAGUUCCGACCUGCACGAAUGGCGUAAUGAUGGCCAGGCUGUCUCCACCCGAGACUCAGUGAAAUUGAACUCGCUGUGAAGAUGCAGUGUACCCGCGGCAAGACGGAAAGACCCCGUGAACCUUUACUAUAGCUUGACACUGAACAUUGAGCCUUGAUGUGUAGGAUAGGUGGGAGGCUUUGAAGCGUGGACGCCAGUCUGCGUGGAGCCAACCUUGAAAUACCACCCUUUAAUGUUUGAUGUUCUAACGUUGGCCCCUUACCGGGGUUGCGGACAGUGUCUGGUGGGUAGUUUGACUGGGGCGGUCUCCUCCCAAAGCGUAACGGAGGAGCACGAAGGUUAGCUAAUCCUGGUCGGACAUCAGGAGGUUAGUGCAAUGGCAUAAGCUAGCUUGACUGCGAGCGUGACGGCGCGAGCAGGUGCGAAAGCAGGUCAUAGUGAUCCGGUGGUUCUGAAUGGAAGGGCCAUCGCUCAACGGAUAAAAGGUACUCCGGGGAUAACAGGCUGAUACCGCCCAAGAGUUCAUAUCGACGGCGGUGUUUGGCACCUCGAUGUCGGCUCAUCACAUCCUGGGGCUGAAGUAGGUCCCAAGGGUAUGGCUGUUCGCCAUUUAAAGUGGUACGCGAGCUGGGUUUAGAACGUCGUGAGACAGUUCGGUCCCUAUCUGCCGUGGGCGCUGGAGAAUUGAGGGGGGCUGCUCCUAGUACGAGAGGACCGGAGUGGACGCAUCACUGGUGUUCGGGUUGUCAUGCCAAUGGCACUGCCCGGUAGCUAAAUGCGGAAGAGAUAAGUGCUGAAAGCAUCUAAGCACGAAACUUGCCCCGAGAUGAGUUCUCCCUGAGACUUUAAGUCUCCUGAAGGAACGUUAAAGACGAUGACGUUGAUAGGCCGGGUGUGUAAGCGCAGCGAUGCGUUGAGCUAACCGGUACUAAUGAACCGUGAGGCUUAACCUUACAACGCCGAAG
rnacentral:rRNA from 1 species